rnacentral:rRNA from 1 species
UGGGGAAUUUUGGACAAUGGGCGAAAGCCUGAUCCAGCAAUGCCGCGUGUGUGAAGAAGGCCUUCGGGUUGUAAAACACUUUUGUCCGGAAAGAAAUCCUUGGCUCUAAUACAGUCGGGGGAUGACGGUACCGGAAGAAUAAGCACCGGCUAACUACGUGCCAGCAGCCGCGGUAAUACGUAGGGUGCAAGCGUUAAUCGGAAUUACUGGGCGUAAAGCGUGCGCAGGCGGUUUGCUAAGACCGAUGUGAAAUCCCCGGGCUCAACCUGGGAACUGCAUUGGUGACUGGCAGGCUAGAGUAUGGCAGAGGGGGGUAGAAUUCCACGUGUAGCAGUGAAAUGCGUAGAGAUGUGGAGGAAUACCGAUGGCGAAGGCAGCCCCCUGGGCCAAUACUGACGCUCAUGCACGAAAGCGUGGGGAGCAAACAGGAUUAGAUACCCUGGUAGUCCACGCCCUAAACGAUGUCAACUAGUUGUUGGGGAUUCAUUUCCUUAGUAACGUAGCUAACGCGUGAAGUUGACCGCCUGGGGAGUACGGUCGCAAGAUUAAAACUUAAAUGAAUUGACGGGGUCAUAGCUGUUUCCU